ensembl:lncRNA
ACAUGUGUUAGAGCUAUGUUUAUUCCAGAAGAAUCACUCACCAGGAGUGAUAGAAAUCAAAGUGCAAACUGGUUUAUUUUUCUCAAUAACUUAUUAAGAACAGCAGCAGUUUGUCGUGUUAGAUAGAUGAUAUGCAACAGACACAGAUAUUUUUCAUCAAAUAUAUACACAAUAAAUGAGAAAAUAAAGCAAAGAAAUGUGCAGUCAAGUGAGUUUUUUAUUAAACAAAAUAAAAUAAAAAAUUAAAUACCAUUUUUGCCAUCCUGAAUUUUUUCUAUUAAUACUAAAAGGUAUUGCAUAAGUCACAACACAAUUUACAGCACAAUAUUUAGUGUAUUUUCAAUAACCAAAUUCUUACACAAUGAAGCACUAAUCAAGACAAUAGACACAUCAAGUGUUUCAUUAUGCUUUCUUAAGAACAUCUGAAUUAAAAAAUCAGUAUAAAAUAGACAACAAAUCAAAGACAGUAGAAUUUAUAAAGUCCUCUUUUAAAGGAGGAAAGAGACAUGUAUUUUUAUGACAAGUUGCGAUAUGCUAAGAUAAUUUCUCAUUUUUCUUAUUUGGCAUGAAAAUUUAUCCUGCACAUUUCUAAACCUCAGACCAUCUCCCCUUAAUUUUGGCUUGACUGCAGAGAGCAGCUGGCUUUUUAAAACCGGCUAUGAAGGAAGUCAUUCCUGUCCUUUCCUUAGCUCCCAGUCCUAACUCCUCAGUCCUUAAGCCUGCAGAAUCUUCCUCAAGGGCAGUUUUGCUAUACACUAAAUGCAACAGUGCAGGACUGGUCUGAUCCACUUGUGGGCCUGGAACAAAAAAAAAAAAAAGAAAAAAAAAAAAAAAAAAAAAGAAAAAAAAAAAAGACAAAAGGGAAGGGGGGUGCGGGGGAGAGGGUGUGUGAGAGCGGUUGAAUUAAAGCCUUUCAAUUCAUUUGGGGAAGGAAGGACCGAGAGAGGGGUUAGUUGGAACCGUUUCCAACAGGCACGAACGAAUUGAGGUUGCUUCCAUCCAGAGGGAAAUUAGGGGGAAUGAGGUCCGGGGCGCUCCUCAAGGGGUUACUCCGACCCCGGGGCUGCCACACAAAAUCGCCCAUCGGGAGCAGUGCGCCUUCCCCGCGAUCCUGAGAAGGGUUUUGGGGGCUCGCUCACGGACAGGAGUUCUCCCUGGUGCCGUACAUCGCACGGGCAUCGCCUCUCUCAGGCAGGGAGGAGAGAGCUACACAACCACGGUCCACAACGAGCCCUCAAGCACUGACCCAUUUGCAUGGAGGGGGAGAAGAACUCCAGCAGACCCUACAGCCGAUUGCCUCUGAUUUGGGCACUCGGGUGACAUCAAUAUUUUAUGGCAGUGGGAGAACAGGAAUAUUGCAAUUCAUUAUAAGUCUCGGAGAGACAGAGCUGUUAAAACACGAGCCUCUUGCAUUUAAGAGGUGAAAAAAAGCGGGGAGGAGGGAAAAGGGGGGGAUGUCCCGACCUCCGCCGCUUACCGGGACACCGGCUGCCGGCCCCUGUGGACUCGCAGCUGGCCCGUCCUCCUGGCUCCUGGCAAGCCGCCGGGGGUGCUCCCAGCGCUCGCCGGGCAGCUUCCCCAGCUCCUCCG